UCCAAAAUGAAAGAAGGAAGGUACCCUGGC
rnacentral:piRNA from 1 species